rnacentral:rRNA from 1 species
UACAGAGGGGGCAAGCGUUGUUCGGAAUUACUGGGCGUAAAGGGCGCGUAGGCGGCCUGUUAAGUCGAACGUGAAAUCCCCGGGCUCAACCCGGGAACUGCGUCCGAUACUGGCAGGCUUGAAUUCGGGAGAGGGAUGCGGAAUUCCAGGUGUAGCGGUGAAAUGCGUAGAUAUCUGGAGGAACACCGGUGGCGAAGGCGGCAUCCUGGACCGAGAUUGACGCUGAGGCGCGAAAGCCAGGGAGCAAACGGG